rnacentral:rRNA from 1 species
UUCGGCGGUUAUAGGGUCGGGGAAUGCUCGGUUGCAUUCCAAACCCGGAAGCCAAUCUUUUCGGCGCCGAUGGUACUGCGGAGGGGAUCCUGUGGGAGAGUGGGACACCGCUGGAC